UUGACUUUUGGAGGUCCCAAAAACCAACGGUAUAAAAGUACCCAGAAGCUCAAACAAACAGGGCUCUAAUGCCACCGUAGAUGCUGGCUAUUUGAAGCGACGACUGCACAGUUGGGUGAUUACUGGGAAGGAAGCGUCUCUCCACCGUCCAUCGAUCAGUCAGCGAUGGCGCCCUGAUCGUCAAGAUCCAGCAAUGGCGCCUGUGAUGAGACGCCGGAAGAAAGCUCUCGCCGCGGCAGCUUCAGCUCUGGCGAUUGAUCCUGCGGACCACCUCAACAAGCUUCCGGACGAGAUCCUGGUGCAGAUCCUAUCGUUCCUGCCAUCUCAGUGCUAUUGUGUAUAUUUCAAGCACAAUGUUCUAUCAAGAUGGAGCGGAAUCCAGACCAGUUAACUUUUCUUCCGGGGCUCCCGCAGUUUGUUGUUUGAUCACUGAACUUUCAAAGUAUCACGGAUACCUUUUUUUCCUGCUACAGUGAUAUAUAUAUCUAGACUGUCCUUUGGCAACACCUGCAUAAUGUAAUAAGAUGCAGCAAUUUAUCCA